AAAACAGCGAUGAUGAGAAGCAGUAAGUGGUCAGCGGAAGCCAAGAGAGGGCGCGGCAGGUGUAAGCGCCCGUGACGCGCCGCCCAAGUCGUCUCGGAGCUUCGGGCUGAACGGAAGUAGGCUGCGACGGGAGUCCCCCGUUAUCGGGACAGGGUGUAGCUGCACCCAUGAGUGCGGGAGAUCUCCCGAAUACAGGUGGUACCACGGACUGGAUGUUCGCCCUGUUU
rnacentral:ncRNA from 1 species